rnacentral:rRNA from 1 species
GUGAGGAAUAUUGGUCAAUGGACGAGAGUCUGAACCAGCCAAGUCGCGUGAAGGAAGACGGUUCUAUGAAUUGUAAACUUCUUUUGUGCAGGAAUAAAGUGGGUUACGUGUAACCUUUUGUAUGUACUGUACGAAUAAGGAUCGGCUAACUCCGUGCCAGCAGCCGCGGUAAUACGGAGGAUCCGAGCGUUAUCCGGAUUUAUUGGGGUUAAAGGGUGCGUAGGUGGAUUGAUAAGUGAGCGGUGAAAGUUUGCAGCUUAACUGUAAAAUUGCCGUUGCAACUGUCGGUCUUGAGUGCAAAUGAGGUAGGCGGAAUGUGUUGUGUAGCGGUGAAAUGCUUAGAUAUAACACAGAACUCCGAUUGCGAAGGCAGCUUACUGGGAUGCAACUGACACUGAUGCACGAAAGCGUGGGUAUCAAACAGGAUUAGAUACCCCUGUAGUCC